AUAUAAAUGUGUUAUAUAUAUAUAUCACAUUUUCUUUAUCCAUUCAUCCAUUGAUGGGCACUUAGGUUGAUUUCAUAUCUUGGCUAUUGUACAUAAUGCAGUGAAUGUGGGGGUGCAGAUCUCUCUUUGAGGUAUUGCUUUCAUUUCCUUUCAGUAUAUACCCACAAGUGGGAUUGCUGGAUUUUCUAGAUUAUAUGGUAGUUCUACUUGUAAUUUUUUUAGUAGCUUCCAUACUGUUUUUCAAAGUGGCUGUACUAAUUUACAUUCCCGCCAACCAUGUACGUAAGUGUUCCCUUUUCUCCACAUCUUUGCCAACACUUGUUAUCUCUCGGUUAUUUUUUUUAUAAUAGUCAUUCUAAUGGAUGUGGGGUGAUAUCUCAUUGUGGUUGUGAUUUGCAUUCCCCUGAUGAUGAGUGACAUUGAACACCAUUGUAUGUACCUGGUGGCCAUUUGCAUGUCUUAUUCUAUCCAUUCUGUUUUGUAUCUUGAGUUUCCCACAUAUCAGUGAGCUGUAAGCAUUUCUCCAUAUCAUUAAAUAUUAUUUGCACUGCCCCUUCCUUCAUCCUAAAGGCAGGGACCUGAACUGGGAGAGCCUCAAAGUCCUGCCAGGCUUCUGUCGGUGCCUGGUGCAUCAGCAGUUCUGCCGGCCUGGCAUGGGUAGAGAUGGAAACAAAUCCAGAAGAGUCACUGGAGUAGUAAUAGGAGUCUAAACUUAGGUUGUGGUAGACAAUCCUAGUUUCAAAUCCAGAUUUUGCCACUUCCAGGCUACCAGGCUCUGAGCCAAUCAAUUUCCCUAGCCAGUCAGUUUCCCUCUGAACCCUGGCUUCCCCAUCUGUAAAAUAGGGAUAGUAGAAUCUAUUUCAUGGUCCUUUUGUGUGGCCUCACUAAGCUAAUGGAUGUCAGGACUUGACCCACAAGGAGUCCCCUGUGAAGAUCAUCUAUUAUUAUUGUGAGAAUGUCAGGAGGCCCGAGUAAGUUCCUUUUCCUCUCUCUGGCUUCAAUUUCUUCAUGUGUACUAUGGGGGAUUGUACCGGAUGUUGCUUUUCAGCUCUGAUUUUCUUGAGGUCCUUCUUUACUCUCUGCUCUUUGCCGUGGGAGCACACAAUGAGACAACCCUCACCAGACACCGAAUCUGUGAGCACCAUGAUCUUGUACUUCUCAGCUUCUAGACCUUCUGAGCAGCAGGUCCAUUUUUAAAUCCAAGCUUUGUUCAUUUCAGGGACCAAAGAGGACUUCAUUUCCAUUUGGGGGCAGGGUAAAAGGAAAGAGAGUGGGGUACUGCAGCAGGAAGGAUGGAGGAUCCAUAUCAAGGGGAACUUCCGGUGUGAUCAAGCUUUGAUUCCAGGGCCAGUAUGAAUGCACUGCUCGGCUGUGGGAAAAGGGCUGGGAUGGAAAUGACACAGGCUGGGCCUGCAGCCAAUGGGAACUUCCCUACAGAAGAUGCCACUUAAAAGUGUUAUUAAACCCUCAGGACUUUUAAAGCAGAGAACAAGGUCUGUUCCUUCAUGGUCAUAAGGUGGCUGCAGCAGCUCCAAGUAUCACACUGUAAUUCAACAAAAUCCAAAGACUGGAAGAAGUAUCAACUUUGCCUUGUGUCAUGUUUUAAGAAGAAGGCAGCCUUCCCCCAAACAUCCCAGCAGCUUCCUGUCCAUGCCUCUCAUUGGCCAGAAUGGUGUUGCAUGCCAAGUUGAAUCAAACCACAUGGCAAGGAGGUUGGAGUUAUCAUGACUGACUUAGACCAGUAUUCUCCACCCUGGCUACAGGGUGGUGGGGGGAGGGGGUUAAAAAUACCCAUGCCCAGAAUGCACUCCCAGACCAAUUUAAUCUCUAGAGAUGUGU
rnacentral:lncRNA from 10 species